AUUCAACGCUGGCGGCAUGCUUUACACAUGCAAGUCGGACGGCAGCACAGAGAAGCUUGCUUCUUGGGUGGCGCGUGGCGAACGGGUGAGUAACAUAUCGGAACGUACCGAGCAGUGGGGGAUAACUAAUCGAAAGAUUAGCUAAUACCGCAUAUCUUCUGAGGAAGAAAGCAGGGGACCAUUUGGCCUUGCGCUGUUUGAGCGGCCGAUAUCUGAUUAGCUAGUUGGUGGGGUAAAGGCCUACCAAGGCGACGAUCAGUAGCGGGUCUGAGAGGAGGAUCGGCCACACUGGGACUGAGACACGGCCCAGACUCCUACGGGAGGCAGCAGUGGGGAAUUUUGGACAAUGGGCGCAAGCCUGAUCCAGCCAUGCCGCGUGUCUGAAGAAGGCCUUCGGGUUGUAAAGGACUUUUGUCAGGGAAGAAAAGGGCGGGGUUAAUACCCCUGUCUGAUGACGGUACCUGAAGAAUAAGCACCGGCUAACUACGUG
rnacentral:rRNA from 1 species